AUCUACGGCCAUGCCACCCUGAACAAGCCUGAUCCUGUCUUAUCUCGGAAGCUAAGCAGGGUCUGGCCUGGUUAGUACUUGAAUGGGAGACCACCUAGGAAGACGGGGUGCUGUACGUG
rfam:Pteropus alecto contig52351, whole genome shotgun sequence.